rnacentral:rRNA from 1 species
GGUUAAGCGACUAAGCGUACACGGUGGAUGCCCUGGCAGUCAGAGGCGAUGAAGGACGUGCUAAUCUGCGAUAAGCGUCGGUAAGGUGAUAUGAACCGUUAUAACCGGCGAUUUCCGAAUGGGGAAACCCAGUGUGUUUCGACACACUAUCAUUAACUGAAUCCAUAGGUUAAUGAGGCGAACCGGGGGAACUGAAACAUCUAAGUACCCCGAGGAAAAGAAAUCAACCGAGAUUCCCCCAGUAGCGGCGAGCGAACGGGGAGCAGCCCAGAGCCUGAAUCAGUGUGUGUGUUAGUGGAAGCGUCUGGAAAGGCGCGCGAUACAGGGUGACAGCCCCGUACACAAAAAUGCACAUGCUGUGAGCUCGAUGAGUAGGGCGGGACACGUGGUAUCCUGUCUGAAUAUGGGGGGACCAUCCUCCAAGGCUAAAUACUCCUGACUGACCGAUAGUGAACCAGUACCGUGAGGGAAAGGCGAAAAGAACCCCGGCGAGGGGAGUGAAAAAGAACCUGAAACCGUGUACGUACAAGCAGUGGGAGCCUCUUUUAUGGGGUGACUGCGUACCUUUUGUAUAAUGGGUCAGCGACUUAUAUUCUGUAGCAAGGUUAACCGAAUAGGGGAGCCGAAGGGAAACCGAGUCUUAACUGGGCGUUAAGUUGCAGGGUAUAGACCCGAAACCCGGUGAUCUAGCCAUGGGCAGGUUGAAGGUUGGGUAACACUAACUGGAGGACCGAACCGACUAAUGUUGAAAAAUUAGCGGAUGACUUGUGGCUGGGGGUGAAAGGCCAAUCAAACCGGGAGAUAGCUGGUUCUCCCCGAAAGCUAUUUAGGUAGCGCCUCGUGAAUUCAUCUCCGGGGGUAGAGCACUGUUUCGGCAAGGGGGUCAUCCCGACUUACCAACCCGAUGCAAACUGCGAAUACCGGAGAAUGUUAUCACGGGAGACACACGGCGGGUGCUAACGUCCGUCGUGAAGAGGGAAACAACCCAGACCGCCAGCUAAGGUCCCAAAGUCAUGGUUAAGUGGGAAACGAUGUGGGAAGGCCCAGACAGCCAGGAUGUUGGCUUAGAAGCAGCCAUCAUUUAAAGAAAGCGUAAUAGCUCACUGGUCGAGUCGGCCUGCGCGGAAGAUGUAACGGGGCUAAACCAUGCACCGAAGCUGCGGCAGCGACACUAUGUGUUGUUGGGUAGGGGAGCGUUCUGUAAGCCUGUGAAGGUGUACUGUGAGGUAUGCUGGAGGUAUCAGAAGUGCGAAUGCUGACAUAAGUAACGAUAAAGCGGGUGAAAAGCCCGCUCGCCGGAAGACCAAGGGUUCCUGUCCAACGUUAAUCGGGGCAGGGUGAGUCGACCCCUAAGGCGAGGCCGAAAGGCGUAGUCGAUGGGAAACAGGUUAAUAUUCCUGUACUUGGUGUUACUGCGAAGGGGGGACGGAGAAGGCUAUGUUGGCCGGGCGACGGUUGUCCCGGUUUAAGCGUGUAGGCUGGUUUUCCAGGCAAAUCCGGAAAAUCAAGGCUGAGGCGUGAUGACGAGGCACUACGGUGCUGAAGCAACAAAUGCCCUGCUUCCAGGAAAAGCCUCUAAGCAUCAGGUGACAUCAAAUCGUACCCCAAACCGACACAGGUGGUCAGGUAGAGAAUACCAAGGCGCUUGAGAGAACUCGGGUGAAGGAACUAGGCAAAAUGGUGCCGUAACUUCGGGAGAAGGCACGCUGAUAUGUAGGUGAAGUCCCUCGCGGAUGGAGCUGAAAUCAGUCGAAGAUACCAGCUGGCUGCAACUGUUUAUUAAAAACACAGCACUGUGCAAACACGAAAGUGGACGUAUACGGUGUGACGCCUGCCCGGUGCCGGAAGGUUAAUUGAUGGGGUCAGCGCAAGCGAAGCUCUUGAUCGAAGCCCCGGUAAACGGCGGCCGUAACUAUAACGGUCCUAAGGUAGCGAAAUUCCUUGUCGGGUAAGUUCCGACCUGCACGAAUGGCGUAAUGAUGGCCAGGCUGUCUCCACCCGAGACUCAGUGAAAUUGAACUCGCUGUGAAGAUGCAGUGUACCCGCGGCAAGACGGAAAGACCCCGUGAACCUUUACUAUAGCUUGACACUGAACAUUGAGCCUUGAUGUGUAGGAUAGGUGGGAGGCUUAGAAGUGUGGACGCCAGUCUGCAUGGAGCCGACCUUGAAAUACCACCCUUUAAUGUUUGAUGUUCUAACGUUGACCCGUGAUCCGGGUUGCGGACAGUGUCUGGUGGGUAGUUUGACUGGGGCGGUCUCCUCCUAAAGAGUAACGGAGGAGCACGAAGGUUGGCUAAUCCUGGUCGGACAUCAGGAGGUUAGUGCAAUGGCAUAAGCCAGCUUGACUGCGAGCGUGACGGCGCGAGCAGGUGCGAAAGCAGGUCAUAGUGAUCCGGUGGUUCUGAAUGGAAGGGCCAUCGCUCAACGGAUAAAAGGUACUCCGGGGAUAACAGGCUGAUACCGCCCAAGAGUUCAUAUCGACGGCGGUGUUUGGCACCUCGAUGUCGGCUCAUCACAUCCUGGGGCUGAAGUAGGUCCCAAGGGUAUGGCUGUUCGCCAUUUAAAGUGGUACGCGAGCUGGGUUUAGAACGUCGUGAGACAGUUCGGUCCCUAUCUGCCGUGGGCGCUGGAGAACUGAGGGGGGCUGCUCCUAGUACGAGAGGACCGGAGUGGACGCAUCACUGGUGUUCGGGUUGUCAUGCCAAUGGCACUGCCCGGUAGCUAAAUGCGGAAGAGAUAAGUGCUGAAAGCAUCUAAGCACGAAACUUGCCCCGAGAUGAGUUCUCCCUGACUCCUUGAGAGUCCUGAAGGAACGUUGAAGACGACGACGUUGAUAGGCCGGGUGUGUAAGCGCAGCGAUGCGUUGAGCUAACCGGUACUAAUGAACCGUGAGGCUUAACCUU